rnacentral:rRNA from 1 species
UACGAAGGGGGCUAGCGUUGUUCGGAAUCACUGGGCGUAAAGCGCACGUAGGCGGAUUGUUAAGUCAGAGGUGAAAUCCCGGAGCUCAACUUCGGAACUGCCUUUGAUACUGGCAAUCUCGAGUCUGGAAGAGGUUGGUGGAACUGCGAGUGUAGAGGUGAAAUUCGUAGAUAUUCGCAAGAACACCCGUGGCGAAGGCGGCCAACUGGUCCAGUACUGACGCUGAGGUGCGAAAGCGUGGGGAGCAAACAGG